GACGAACGCUGGCGGCGUGCUUAACACAUGCAAGUCGAACGGAAAGGCCCUGCUUUUGUGGGGUGCUCGAGUGGCGAAAGGGUGAGUAACACGCGAGUAACCUGCCCUUGACAUAGGGAUAAAUCUAGGAAACUGGGGCUAAUAUCGGAUAUGAGCUUCUGAUGCAUGGUGGGGGUUGGAAAGUUUCGGCGGUUGGGGAUCGUCUCGCGGCUUAUCAGCUUGUUAGUGGGGUAGUGGAUUACCAAGGGUUCGACGGGUAGCCGGCCUGAGAGGGGGACCGGCCACAUGAGGACUGAGAGACGGACCAGAAUCCUACGGGAGGCAGCAGUGGAGAAUAUUGCGCAAUGGGCGGAAGCCUGAUGCAGCAACGUCGGGUGCGGGAUGACGGGCUUCGAGUUAUAAACCGCUUUCGCCGGUGACGAAGCGUGAGUGACGGUAAUGAGUAAAGAAGCACCGGCUAACUACGUG
rnacentral:rRNA from 1 species